UUCAGCCACAUGACCAAAAAUCAUUGAUCCUUCUUGUGAAUGGAAUAAAAGCAGAAAUGGGACCCUUAAAGCUCGGCUGAAUUUUGAGUACUGUAUUAAGCUGAGCUCUUCUAAUGACUCUGUGGGGAGUUUUUAUCAGCAUUUUUGAGAAUCAGUCCUCAGUAAAGAAGAAGCAAC